rnacentral:rRNA from 1 species
AACGAACGCUGGCGGCAGGCUUAACACAUGCAAGUCGAACGCCCCGCAAGGGGAGUGGCAGACGGGUGAGUAACGCGUGGGAAUCUACCGUACCCUACGGAAUAGCUCCGGGAAACUGGAAUUAAUACCGUAUACGCCCUACGGGGGAAAGAUUUAUCGGGGUAUGAUGAGCCCGCGUUGGAUUAGCUAGUUGGUGGGGUAAAGGCCUACCAAGGCGACGAUCCAUAGCUGGUCUGAGAGGAUGAUCAGCCACAUUGGGACUGAGACACGGCCCAAACUCCUACGGGAGGCAGCAGUGGGGAAUAUUGGACAAUGGGCGCAAGCCUGAUCCAGCCAUGCCGCGUGAGUGGUGAAGGUCUUAGGAUUGUAAAGCUCUUUCACCGAUGAAGAUAAUGACGGUAGUCGGAGAAGAAGCCCCGGCUAACUUCGUGCCAGCCGCCGCUGUAAAAC